rnacentral:ncRNA from 1 species
AACAAUUAUAGCGCCUGUGCAAUUGUUUAAAUACAUGUUGACGACCAACAACUAAUACAAGAGAGUUGUUAGAGACAUUUAUUUAACUUUUGUAGACGAGGAGGAUAGUGAUCGAAGUGAUCGGCGGAUGCUAUCCCGGAUGUGGCUCAUUCGACAGCUUAUUAAAUAAAACAUUGAGGUAACUUAAUGGACAAAAUUAAUAAGAUC